UAUCACAGCCAUGCUGCCCCGAACAUGCCCCAUCUCCUCUAAUCUCAGAAGCUAAGCAGGGUAGGGCCUGGCUAGUACUUGGACUUGCAGAGUCAUGGAAGUGAGAUGA
rnacentral:rRNA from 1 species